UACGAAGGGUGCAAACGUUGCUCGGAAUUAUUGGGCGUAAAGGGCGCGUAGGCGGCCUGGCAAGUGGAAGGUGAAAUCCCUCGGCUUAACCGAGGAACUGCCCUCCAAACUGCUUGGCUUGAGUCCGGGAGAGGUGAGUGGAAUUCCCAGUGUAGCGGUGAAAUGCGUAGAUAUUGGGAGGAACACCAGUGGCGAAGGCGGCUCACUGGACCGGAACUGACGCUGAGGCGCGAAAGCGUGGGGAGCAAACGGG
rnacentral:rRNA from 1 species